ensembl:lncRNA
CAGGUUCUCGGUGCAAGAAGGAUGGCCGAUCGCAAAGGUUUGCAGGAAACUACAGAGCGUAGAGUCUUCCAGCUACGACCUGAAGGUGCUUUUCCCAGCUUACACAAUAUGUGAACAAACUGGGCUACAUUUGCUCCGUGAACGAACAAUUUCAGAUUUCAGGGCGUGGACUUUAAAGCUGAUAUGCUGAAUGUUCUGCAAAACAAGGACCAGACUCUUUAAGAUGAGUUCAGCACCACCUGUUAAGUACAAGGGUCUACAAAACCAAGGAGCAACUUGCUACUUAAAUUCGGUACUGCAGGUCCUCUUCAUGACCAAGGAGUUCCGAGAAAAAGUGGAGAGGGCCACUUCCUCAACCGCUAGGCCACCACUGGGCUAUCCAGACAAGGCAGACAUUUUGGCUGAACUGAAAAGUCUUUUUGACGAGCUGGAGCACGGCGAUGGCAGCGUCUCCACUCGUGGAAUAACCAACAGGCUUCACAUUGACAACGUUUAUCAGCAACAGGAUGCAGUGGAGUGGUUCCAGAAAAUCCUCAGUGAGCUCGGCGAGGGAGUGACCAAGGAUUUUCAAGGGAACAUGCAACAACUAUUGAAAUGUUCCAAGAAAGGUCAUGAUGUGAAAGAGGACAACAAAUUCAUUUCAGUUCUUCUUCCAGUUGGCACUGAAAACGAUCGCGUGUACGAUGUGAAAGAAUGCCUUGAGGAUUUUUUUAAAUCAACCAUGUUAGAUGAAGAUGACUGGAUGUACUGUGAUCAGUGCGAUGAUAAAACCAUCAAAGAUGUUAGCUGUGAAAUCGAGCGGCAUCCGACUAUUCUGGCUCUGCACAUCAAGAGGUUUUACUUUGACUACAUGCGUCAUGGGUUCGUCAAAAACUGCUGCCGCAUCAGCAUCCCGUCCCAUGUCACCUUGCAGGUGCCGUACAAUCCUCACUUCCUCACCAUCCUCACCUCACUCCUCACCACCACCUCCUGA